UACAGAGGGUGCGAGCGUUGUUCGGAAUUACUGGGCGUAAAGCGCGCGCAGGCGGCCUUUUAAGUCUGACGGUGAAAUGCCGGGGCUCAACCCCGUGCUCGCCGCGGAUACUGGGAGGCUGGAGACGAGUAGAGGCAAGCGGAAUUCCGGGUGUAGCGGUGGAAUGCGUAGAGAUCCGGAAGAACACCGGAGGCGAAGGCGGCUUGCUGGGCUCGGUCUGACGCUGAGGCGCGAAAGCGUGGGGAGCGAACAGG
rnacentral:rRNA from 1 species